rnacentral:rRNA from 1 species
GGGGAAUAUUGGACAAUGGGCGAAAGCCUGAUCCAGCAACGCCGCGUGAGGGAUGGAUGCCUUCGGGUUGUAAACCUCUUUCAGCGGGGACGAAGCGCAAGUGACGGUACCCGCAGAAGAAGCACCGGCCAACUACGUGCCAGCAGCCGCGGUAAUACGUAGGGUGCGAGCGUUGUCCGGAAUUAUUGGGCGUAAAGGGCUCGUAGGCGGUCUGUCGCGUCGGGAGUGAAAACACGGGGCUUAACUCCGUGCCUGCUUCCGAUACGGGCAGACUAGAGGUAUGCAGGGGAGAACGGAAUUCCUGGUGUAGCGGUGAAAUGCGCAGAUAUCAGGAGGAACACCGGUGGCGAAGGCGGUUCUCUGGGCAUUACCUGACGCUGAGGAGCGAAAGUGUGGGGAGCGAAC